GGAGGAAGGAAUCUGUACAUUUCUGCUUGAAACAUUGUACACCUAGAGAUUUGAGCUAGGGGCAAAAAAAUUAAUUUUUUUUUGCAAUAGUAUGCUUCCUACCUGGGUCGGCUCAACAGCCCUUCUGCAGCUCCUGACAGUCAUUCAUUGGCUGAGAGUAUCAGCUCAGUGGAAUAUUCACAGAACUAAUGAGCCCAGAGGAACACCCAUUCUGUGCUGGCUAAUCACACUUCUGAAGGUGGAAAUACACCACCAGCAGCAACAUUAAAGGAG